rnacentral:rRNA from 1 species
UAGGGAAUAUUGGGCAAUGGACGGAAGUCUGACCCAGCCAUGCCGCGUGCAGGAAGAAGGCGCUCAGCGUUGUAAACUGCUUUUAUCGGGGAAGAACGGCAGUUCUGCGGGAUUGUGUGACGGUACUCGAGGAAUAAGCACCGGCUAACUCCGUGCCAGCAGCCGCGGUAAUACGGAGGGUGCGAGCGUUGUCCGGAUUUAUUGGGUUUAAAGGGUGCGUAGGUGGUUGGGUAAGUCAGGUUUGAAAGUCAGUCGCUUAACGAUUGAGCGUGGCUUGAUACUGGUGAGCUUGAGUGCACGAGAGGUAGGUGGAACGUGUUGUGUAGCGGUGAAAUGCAUAGAUAUGGCCCAGAACCCCAAUUGCGAAGGCAGCCUACUACGGUGUGACUGACGCUGAGGCACGAGAGCAUGGGGAGCAAACA